rnacentral:lncRNA from 1 species
CGUGCUGAGCCGGUGGGAGCAGAGUGUGAGGCUCGGGGUUCAUGGUGUUUAUUGGGAUUAUUCCUGGUUCCAGAUCAGGAGGUUAGUAUUGUCCUCAGUGACCUCCCUGGAGCAUCAUGUGACCUGGUAAUACAGCCAUUCAGUUAUUACUGAGCAGCAUGGAGGAUACUGGAUCAGUAAUACAAUGCUGCCAAUAAUCAGACUAGUACAUUAACAUGGGAGAGGGGGGGGCAGCAUGGAGAGAGAGAGAGGGGGCAACAUGGAGAGAGAGAGAGAAGAAGAGGGGGCAACAUGGAGAGAGAGAGAAGAAGAGGGGGGCAACAUGGAGAGGAGAGAGAGAAGAAGAAGAGGGCAACAUGAGAGAGAGAGAGAAGAAGAAGAGGGGGCAACAUGGAGAGAGAGAGAGAAGAAGAAGAGGGGCAACAUGGAGAGAGAGAGAGAAGAAGAAGAGGGGGCAACAUGAGAGAGAGAGAAGAAGAAGAGGGGGGCAACAUGGAGAGAGAGAGAAGAAGAAGAGGGGGGCAACAGAGAGAGAAGAAGAAGAGGGGCAACAUGGAGAGAGAGAGAAGAAGAAGAGGAGGCAACAUGGAGAGAGAAGAAGAAGAGGGGCAACAUGGAGAGAGAGAGAAGAAGAAGAGGGGCAACAUGGAGAGAGAGAGAGAAGAAGAAGAGGGGGCAACAUGAGGAGGGGCAACGGAGAGAGAAGAAGAGGGGCAACAUGGAGAGAGAGAGAAGAAGAAGAAGAGGGGCAACAUGGAGAGAGAGAGAAGAAGAAGAAGAGGGGCAACAUGGAGAGAGAGAGAGAGAAGAAGAAGAGGGGGCAACAUGGAGAGAGAGAGAAGAGGGGGCAACAUGAAGAAGAGCACAUGGAGAGAGAGAGAGAAGAAGAAGAGGGGCAACAUGGAGAGAGAGAAGAAGAGGGGCAACAUGGAGAGAGAGAGAAGAAGAAGAGGGGCAACAUGGAGAGAGAGAGAAGAAGAAGAGGGGCAACAUGAGAGAGAGAGAGAGAAGAAGAAAGGAGGCAACAUGAGAGAGAGAAGAAGAAGAGGGCAACAUGAGAGAGAGAGAGAGAAGAAAGAAGAGGGGGCAACAUGGAGAGAGAGAGAGGGGAAAGCAACAUGGAGAGAGAAGAAGAGGGGGGCAACAUGGAGAGAGAAGAAGAGGGGCAACAUGGAGAGAGAGAGGAAGAAGAGGGGCACAGGAGAGAGAGAGAGAAGAAGAAGAGGGGGCAACAUAGAGAGAAGAAGAAGAGGGGCAACAUGGGAGAGAGAGAAGAAGAGGGGCAACAUGAGAGAGAGAAGAAGAAGAGGGGCAACACAGAGAGAGAGAGAAGAAGAGGGGCAACAUGGAGAGAGAGAAGAAGAGAGGGGCAACAUGGAGAGAGAGAGAAGAAGAAGAGGGGGCAACAUGAGAGAGAGAGAAGAAGAAGAGGGGGCAACAUGAGAGAGAGAAGAAGAGGGGCAACAUGGAGAGAGAGAAGAAGAAGAGGGGGAGAGAGAGAGAAGAAGAAGAGGGGCAACAUGGAGAGAGAGAAGAAGAAGAGGGGGCAUCAUGGAGAGAGAGAGAAGAAGAAGAAGAGGGGGCAACAUGGAGAGAGAGAGAAGAAGAAGAAGAGGGGGCAACAUGGAGAGACAGAGAGAGAAGAAGAGGGGGGGGGGGCAACAUGGAAAGAGAAGGGGAGUGUGCCGCAUGGAAGAUACUGGAUCCUUAAUGCAAUGUUAACACUAAUUAGAUAAUUACAGUAACAUGGUGUUGGGAUAUUUCCUACGUUCACUAUAUCUGGAGGGACCCACCCUUUUAUACUACUCUAAACCAGAUGGAAGUUCUAAGCAUACCAAAUUAUUAGAACAAACCAAUGGUUAAUAAAUGCUUGCAAAAAGAAGUUUCUUUUUUGUGUGCAAUUGUAUUGCAGAACAAGAUUAUUUUAUCAUAAUGAGGGGGGGUCACAUUUUCUACAUCAUAAGGAGGGGGUUACUUUUUACUGUGUUCUUAUCUUAUCUACAAAGCUUACCUAAUGCUAAACUGAUCAGAAAUGGCUUUAGCUGGGAACACUGUAGCAGGAUAUAUUUGCUGACUCAAGAAGUGUCCUUGAGGGGCAUUGCAGCAAAGGAGAAUGUUUAACCCUUUCACAUGGGGAGAAAAGUAAAGUGGCAGCAUGGAGGUGGUGGGGGGGAGGGUGUGCACAGCAGAGAGGAUACUGGAUCAUUAAUACAAUGCUGCUACUAAUCAGACGAUUAUAUUAAGGAAGGAAGUAUAACCUAUAGGGUAGAGGGAGAGAGAGAAAAUAUGCUGUGUGUUAUAUUGGAGGACACUGAUUUGUAACAAUGUAAAUAAUGUGUUAUUUAGGAACAAUCUGAGUUUGAGAAAGAGGACAUUUACUUCUCUGCGAAGGAGUCGGACUGUUUAAAUCAAGAAGAGAAGAAACUUAACAGGGAUCUAGUGGUAGAGAAUUACCAGACCCUCGGCUCUCUGGGUAAGAAAAUCUCACACAUCCCCUUUACAGGAAAUAUUUCUCAUCAGAGGACAUAUUUAUAUCUGGGACCAGGGCCGGACUGGGAAUAAAAAGCAGCCCUGGAAGUUUUUUAUACCAGCACUAAUAUUAAUUACGCCACCUGUGACAGAUAUACAGAUGGGAAAAGCCAAAACAAUGAAAAUUAUUUACCCCACAAGAAGGAGAACUUAACGCCGUUACGGCGUUCUAUGCCGUUGCGGCUUUAAAGCCGUUGCGGCGACAUAGAACGCCGUAACGGCUUAAGCCCAUGGGAGGUCCUGCGUACUUAUAUAUAUCUCGUCAUACAUAGUGUAUUUUAAUACUAAUAUUAGUAUAUAUAUUAAUAUUAAAAUACACUUAGAAUGACGUUACAUAUAUAUUAUAUAUAUAUAUAUAUAUAUAUAUAUAUAUGUAUAAUUACAAUAAUAAAUAAAAUAAAGAAAUAAAAUAUUGAAACAAAAUUUAAUAUAAAUUAUAUAUUCAUAUGCAAUUUCAUUCUAACUGUAUUUUGUUAUUAAUAUAUAUAUAUUGGUAACAAAAUACACUUAGAAUGACAUUCUAUAUAUAUAUAUAUAUCUAUCUAUACAAAUAACCGCAUAUAUAUAUAUAUAUAUAUAGAGAGAGAGAGAGAGAGAGAGAGAGAGAGAGAGAGAGAGAGAGAGAGAUAUAAUACAUAUAAUUACAUAAAAGAUUACAUUAGUAUACACGUAGAAUUUAAAUACCUAUAAAUGCAUAUAUAUUAAAAUUCUACGUGUAUAUUUAAGUAAUCUUUGAACAUAAUUAUGUGAUUUGAUUAAUUAAAAGUUUAUUGACAUGCCUGACAACACAGGGAGAAAGUGCAGAGAAUUUAAUUCGCAAGCACUAUAUUUGACCCUGUAACUCUCCAAGACACCAUAAAACCUGUACAUAGGGGGCAUUGUUUUACUCGGGAGACUUUGCUGAACUCAAAUAUUAAUGUUUAAAACUGGUAAAUUGUAUUACAACGAUGAUAUUUUAAGUAAAAGUGAAGUUGUUUGCAUUUUUUACAAACGAACGGCACUUUUAUUGACUACAUUAUUGUUGUAAUAUGUUUUACUGUUUUAAAACACUAAUAUUUGUGUUUAGUGAAGUCUCCCGAGAAUAACAGUACCCCCCAUGUACAGGUUUUAUGGUGUUUUGGAAAGUUAGAGAGUCAAAUAUAAGGCUUGCAUUUCGUUUUUUUGACAUUGAAAUUUGCCAGAUUGGUUAUGUUGCCUUUGAGAGCGGAUGGUAGCACAGGAAUGAGAAUUACCCCCAUGAUGGCAUACCAUUUGCAAAAGUAGACAACCCAAGGUAUUGCAAGUGGGGUAUGUCCAGUCUUUCUUAGUAGCCACUUAGUCACAAACACUGGCCAAAUAUUAGUUUUUUGCUUUUUUCACACAAAAACAAAUAUGAACGCUAACUUUGGCCAGUGUUUGUGACUGGCUACUAAAAAAGAUUAAAUAUACCCCACUUUCAAUACCUUGGGUUGUCUACUUUUUCAUAUGGUAUGCCAUUAUGGGGGUAAUUCUCAUUCCUGGGCUACCACACUGUCUCAAAGGUAACAUUACUAAUCAGGCAAAUUUCAAUUUGAAAAUGGAACGUUCUAUAUUUGACCCUGUAACUUUCCAAAACACCAUAAAACCUGUUAAUGGGGAGUACUGUUGUACUCGUGAGACAUCGCUGAUUACAAAUAUGUGCAUUUUUUUUGCAGUAAAACCUAACAGUAUUAUGACAUUAACAGCUAAAAUGUCAGACGGAAAUACAAAUUUAAAAUAAAAUCUUAUUUUCUCAAUUUUGUUUUUAAAUUUUAGUCAUAAUAAAUUAUGUUCCAUAUAUGAAUAGUUAAUGAUAAAUUAAAGCCCUGUUUCUCCUGAACAAAAUGAUAUAUAAUAAGUGUGGGGGCACUUAAUGUGACAGCGGUGAAUUACGGUUGGACAGACAUAUAGCGCAAAUUCCAGCUUUUGUUUACGUUUUGUUUUGAUCAGAACGUGCACUAUUGACUCCAUCCUGAAGGGGUUAAAAAUAAACAAAAGAGCUGCUUUAUUCUAAUCAGAUGUGCAACAUCUUACAUCAACGUUUCAUCCCCAUAACCUUGAAUAGUCCAGUAAUGGGAGUGAAACAUUGACUGAAUGCUGCUGCAUGUCUGAUUUAAAUAAAUGUUAUUUUGUUUAGUCCUCAAUCCUAUGAGUGCACUCUGCGUUGGAUAUAGUUUUACACCAGGACACGAAAGACUCUGAAAAAGGCAGUGUUAUCCACUAAACUAAUAAUUUAAUAAUUCCACAAAUUAGGCUACAAUUGUCAAGCUGUUACUAUAGCUAAGUUGGGUUUUUCAAAUCCGGUAUUGUGGUCUAAAUUACACAAUUUAGAUUUUCACUUCAUAUAAUUAAAAGUUUAAUGAAUAACCCAUUGAUGAAUGUGAAACCCUUGUUACAUUUUAUAUACGUGUAUCAGAAAGUAGGGUGUAGGUGCUCACUAAAAUAACUAGAUCUAAGGCAGCAGUGAACCAGCAGGAUUUCCCAAUACCUGCUAAUAGUGACCAAAAGUGCAAUAACAGAGUGGUAAACCGCGCCAGAAAGGUAUUCAAAGUGAGUAAAAUGUAGUUAUGGAAUAUACAUACAUACAUACAGGUUUUCCAAUGUUAUGGCGAUGUGUAUAUAGCCCUCGGGAGAAAUAAAAUACAAAACAGUGAGUGCAAUAUGUCAUAUAAAUAUUAACAUAGAUAUACUGUAAAAAAGCCAAUUAAAAGACUAACUCACACUCUGCAGAGUUUCUGAGAGCUCUGCCGUAUAUUAUUAUUACCAUUUAUAUAGCGCCAACAGAUUCCGUAGUGCUUUACAAUAUUAUGGGAGGGGAUUUAACUAUAAAUAGGACAAUUACAAAAAACUUACAGGAACGAUAGGUUGGAGAGGACCCUGGUCAAACGAGCUUACAUUCUAUAGGGACAUUUAGUAGCAGAGGGUGGAGGGGGUUGACAGGGGACUUACUGCAGCCGUGAUAUUUACUUUCAUCCCGAUCUAGCCACCCUGCUGUAUGAUUUUAUUACCAUCUAGAUAGGUAGCCAAGCCAUCUAGACAGUUCAGCUACCGGUUUGUUUAAUGAGGGGAAGAUUUUUGUGCUGCUAAGGUGGCACAGUAUGAUGGGAGUUGGGAGAUAUACUAUUGGGUCUAUCUAUACUUCUCUUUAGCUUUACCAUAUCUGUAUCCCUGUGCUAAAGGAAAAAGAAAGAGAAAUAAUGUAUGUACAGAGUACACAAAACUAGUGUUAAGAGUCUCCAAUGUGCACUCCUGAGAUGCUGGACAUGAAUGAACGUGAUGUCGGUAAUUUAGCAGAGAGUUAGGUGCCGACACCAAUAAUGUGUCAGUAUGUGUCCAGAGCCCCCGACGUGCACGUUUCGCCAGUGAACCUCAUCAGUUGACUAGGGGUCCCCAAGUCACUCCCACCCACCCAAAAAAAAAGGAAUAAACCCCUACCUACCCAAGAGCACUAAAUACUACCUGUAAAAAAUAAAUAAAACUUACCAUUUGAUGUCUUCUUUUUUCAAUGGAGAAACUGUUCUCAUUGUGUUAGCACGCAAAUCGGUAGUUUCGCCGGCGUUCUGUCUUAAAUCACAGGACGUUUGGGAAACGUGAAAGGAGACAUCGCAGGAUCACGGAGGAAAGGUAAGAAUUGUGGAAAAAUUGCUCUGACCACACUUUGCUCCUCCGCUGGUCAAAGCUCCAUAAGACAAAGUAGUCCCUACUUUGUCUUAUGUUUUAAAGAAAACUAGUGUCGACAGGAAAAAACAAAGAACAGAUCCUGACAGAGGACUCGAUUGGGGAAAGGUAAGUUCGGCAUGACGGUGCCACUUUAACCAUAUCGCAAUACAUGAGAGUGAUCUCAACAAUUGAAUACUACAAUUAAAUUAAAUGACCAAAAUAUUCAUAGCUAGCGGACACCGUCCCCAAACAUUGGUGAAAGCUAAACAAAAAGCCGUUGAAAGUUGGACCCGGCAGAAUGAAGAAAAUAGAUCCAAUACUGUAAGAUAAAAAUAUGACGAUGCAGCUACCACGUACAUUUCAUACGGGAGCCACACAUUUGGAGAUCAAUUGAGAAAAUAUAUAUAUAUAUAUAUAUAUAUAUGUAUGUAGUAGCUGUAUUUGUCCAGUGAUGCAGAUGUAAGAAAACAGAUACAAUAAUGUAUCUUGUAAUAACUUUCUUUUUAUUGGACCAACAGAAUUUUUUUAAUGACAAGCUUUCUGGGAACCUCCCUUUCUCAAGUCUAAAGCAUUUCUGAGCAAAGACAACACAUAGAAUUCAAAGGUGAGUUGUGAUACAGGGGUUAAAGCAACAUGAGUGCAGAUAAGACACAAGUUUGAUAGAAAAUAGACACCAUUCUCACAGAGGGUUGUAAAUAUCUUGUGUGAAGAUUCAAGAGUAAGGGGGGAGAGAGAGG